rnacentral:lncRNA from 13 species
AUGGAAAAUCAAUGUGAGGUACUGAAUUGUUCCAGCUGCUGCGGCUCUGUUAAUUACAUCAUAUUUUUAUGGAGACAUUCGGCUCAGACCUGCCAAGUGACCGCAUCUGGAAGCAUCGCCUGCCAUCCUGUUAGGGGAAGCUCUUCUCCCCAGACAUCUCGGUUAACUGCAAAAGGACAAGCUACCCCAGGAAAGCAGCUUGUACAGCCCGUCUCGGAGGCAAAAUCCGAUGAUCAGCGUGUCUUCCGUUACCAUAGCAAUGAGGUGCCGGGCACUGGAGAAGGGCCACACCUGUGCAGGAAGCGGGUUAGUCGGAAUGCUUCUUAUUAAAUAUCUGACUGCUCAAAUCAUACAGAGGCCUGACUUUGGUGGAAGCCCAUCUGCAGCACUACUGCCUGCAAUCAGACACAAUAUUAACUGCUAAAUUGGACUACUUAAUUCUCAGGACUGAGAGACUGAUUCAAUGGAUUAUAAAACAAUCCACCAACCCAAUAUCUGGACUGUGAAACUUCUUGGGGAAGUUUCAGACUGGGGAAUGUAAGGGUUCACAAAUCAAUAUCCUAAAAUGAAGGACUCAAAAGCAAAAGCUUUUUUCUAACCUUCUCCUACCCUCCUGUCUCUCAGAAACAUUCUCCCCCAAGGCUAUCUAUAGAAACUAGAAUCCCUCUUCUCCAAGGCAGGUCACAGAAACCAGAACCCCUUCUGAAAAACCAGCCAUAAAACCUAAAAAUAUUAAUCUAACUUUCCCUUUGCCUUUCUGUAUAAAAACUGACCAUAAAAAAAAUUAUCUGACCUACCAUUUUUGACUAUAGGUCCUAAGACUUCCAUUUCAGAGGGCCCUACCCCAUACCCAGAACAAAAAAAAAAAAAAAAAGAAAAGAAAAAAAGCAUACUCAGAGAAGCCAUAAAUAAUCUAGACAGACAGACCUUGCUAGGUUCCUCCACUUAGUCUAUUAGCCUUAGAUCAUACCCUUUUUUUUUUUUCAAUUAUAUUUCUACAGAGCAGUCCAUACUUUCACCUAACCAUAAAAAUGGAAAACUUUCCCUGUAUCUAGGGGUUUUCAUUGUGGAGGCUCCCAUGUAUUCAUGUUAAAUAAAUUUACAUGCCUUUUCUCCA